UGGGGAAUUUUGGACAAUGGGCGAAAGCCUGAUCCAGCAAUGCCGCGUGUGUGAAGAAGGCCUUCGGGUUGUAAAGCACUUUUGUCCGGAAAGAAAUCCUUGGCUCUAAUACAGUCGGGGGAUGACGGUACCGGAAGAAUAAGCACCGGCUAACUACGUGCCAGCAGCCGCGGUAAUACGUAGGGUGCAAGCGUUAAUCGGAAUUACUGGGCGUAAAGCGUGCGCAGGCAGUUUGCAAGACCGAUGUGAAAUCCCCGGGCUCAACCUGGGAACUGCAUUGGUGACUGGCAGGCUAGAGUAUGGCAGAGGGGGGUAGAAUUCCACGUGUAGCAGUGAAAUGCGUAGAGAUGUGGAGGAAUACCGAUGGCGAAGGCAGCCCCCUGGGCCAAUACUGACGCUCAUGCACGAAAAGCGUGGGGAGCAAAACAGGAUUNGAUACCCUGGUAGUCCACGCCCUAAACGAUGUCAACUAGUUGUUGGGGAUUCAUUUCCUUAGUAACGUACUAACGCGUGAAGUUGACCGCCUGGGGAGUACGUCGCAAGAUU
rnacentral:rRNA from 1 species